rnacentral:lncRNA from 1 species
GUGGUGUAUAAGAAAGUCCCCAUCAGAAAGGGAGGACACUGGCUCUUCUCAAGGGCCAGUCACCCUCUCGUCUUCCCUUUAAUAAAUUUCCCUUUUCUGGCCUGACUGCCCAGGUCACUCUCUUUUUCUCUGCACUUGUCUUACAGUCUGGACCUCACCAAGAAACUGAGAUGAGCCCCGGGACGUGACUCUCCACUUGCCUUGCUGGACUGACAUCCACACACUGGUCCACAUUGCAUCCAUCGGUUACAAGGAAAUCUGGACAUCCCUCCUGGUCCUAAGCACGAGUCCUCUGAUCCAGCUCUGCCCAGCCUCCUCGGAUUUGCUGCUGAAGGUGCCCAGGGCUCCAGGCCCUGAUUCUCAUCACCUCUAUGGAGCCCAGGGUAACUCUCACAGUGGCAGGUAAGCAGCAUUAGCUCCAUCUCAGGUUCUGCAUCCACGGAAGAUGCACCCAGCAGCAUUGGGUUUCUCAGGGACAAGGGGCUUGUAUGGGUGUCUGGCCUCCUCUCCAGCAGCCUUCUCGAAAGACUGAAGCAAAUGAAGCUUUCCUGCACAGCCCUCGGACUAGUCACUGAUUACCCUGAGGGCGGUAAUCUCUUGGUACUGCAGCUCAGAUAUGAAUUUUAAAACAUGCUAAUCUGAACAGAAAAAGUCCCCUUGAGGGGGGGGAAAAAAGAAAUAUGUUAAAAAAGAAGUUCAUUUUUUGAUUUCUCCUCACUUUGGACUUUUUUUAAUUUAAAAAGAAGAAGAAAAUGAAUCUUUUACUAUGAACAUCAUUAUGUUAUAUAAGAGAAAUGAGCAAAGCUCAGUCCACCAAAGCUCAUAUGAGGGUUAAGUUAAAGGAACUCUCUCAAGAUUCCAUUCUGUGAUGAAACUUCAUGUACAGAAUACCACCAAUAAGUACACGAUAACAUUGAAAUUGUAUAAAAGAAUUUAUUUGCAUACAAAGUCCUUCUAAUUUCUUCAUUUGGGUUUUUCUUGCUUUGCAGAAAUUCACAUGUUCUUUCUCAUAUCAAAUGCCCUCUAGACAUGAUAAAAUUUUAAAUAAUAGUGAGAGAUAGGAAAGGUGCAUUUGCACUGACUACAUAAAUCUAUACUAGUGGACACACCGUAUUUUUUCAUUGGGAUAAUUAUAUAGUUGGCUUAGAUUUUACACAUACAGGCCACCAUCGCCGAAUAAGAAAAACCUCUGCUUCACCACUGGUAGCACUGGCACCCCCAAGACAAAUACAGAAU